rnacentral:rRNA from 1 species
AUUGAACGCUGGCGGCAUGCCUUACACAUGCAAGUCGAACGGUAACGGGCCUUCGGGUGCCGACGAGUGGCGAACGGGUGAGUAAUACAUCGGAACGUGCCCGAUCGUGGGGGAUAACGAGGCGAAAGCUUUGCUAAUACCGCAUACGAUCUACGGAUGACAGCAGGGGACCGCAAGGCCUUGCGCGGACGGAGCGGCCGAUGGCGGAUUAGGUAGUUGGUGGGAUAAAAGCUUACCAAGCCGACGAUCUGUAGCUGGUCUGAGAGGAUGAUCAGCCACACUGGGACUGAGACACGGCCCAGACUCCUACGGGAGGCAGCAGUGGGGAAUUUUGGACAAUGGGCGCAAGCCUGAUCCAGCCAUGCCGCGUGCAGGAUGAAGGCCUUCGGGUUGUAAACUGCUUUUGUACGGAACGAAAAGCCUUCUUUUAAUACAGGAGGGUCAUGACGGUACCGUAAGAAUAAGCACCGGCUAACUACGUG